ensembl:lncRNA
GAACGAAGGUGGGAAGAAAUAGGCUCUGUGCACAAGCGUAUGGGCGAAGUUCCGCUUUAGCCAGGUUUAAUAAAGGCGAUCACCCGGGUCGCCCAAAAUUUCAGUUUUUAGUACAUGUCUCCAAGACCUGCCUAAAAUAAGCAUUAGUGAUGUCCAUCGAAUUGUUGAUGCCUGGUCCCCUGCUCCAACAAGCAAGCGGAACAAGGGAUUCAAACUCUACGUAUUGAGUUAUCUGCACAGCUAGGCCCUGACCCAUCUAGUCAUGGACUCCACUAGACCUCGGAAGGUGUGCUGUGGAAUCUCGCACCAAGACGUUAGCAGCAGAUCCUUUGAGUCCUGGCGCAUUAUCCUGCUGAAAGAGGCCAAUGCCAUCAGGGAAUAUCGUUGCCAUGAAAGGGUGCGCAUGGUCUGCAACAAUGCUCAGGUAGGUGGUACGUGUCAAAGUAACAUCCACAUGAAUGGCAAGACCCAAGGUUUCCCUGCAGAACAUUGCCCAAAGCAUCACACUUCUUCCGCAAGCUUGCCUCCUUCCCAUAGUGCAUCCUGGUACCAUGUGUUCUCCAGGUAAGUAACACACACGCACCCGGCCAUCCACAUGAUGUAAAAGAAAACGUAAUUGAUCAGACCAGGCCACCUUCUUCCAUUUCUCUGUGGUCCAGUUCUGAUACUCACGUGCCCAUUGUAAGCAAAACAUUAUGAUAUGUCCCCUUGUUUGAUAUGGUGAUAUGUUUAGGCUACUAUAGGUUAGAGGCAAUAACAUUUAUUGGACUAGAAUGUUACUAAAAAAAAAUAUUUUUGUUGACAAAAGUGGC